UUUAGUGAUAGUCAAGUUAUCAUCUAGAAUGGUUAAGGAAAACAGUAUUUAUAAGUAAUUUGGGAACGGAAGGGUCUGCUCCGUAUACAGCUAUAGAUUGCAUAAAGACACACUAAGCUUAGAAUGACCCGGAGUGACCUUUUGUCGGUAAAGGUCCACAUCAUACCUGAAGCGAGCCAUAACUAUCAAUAUUGAAGGAUCACCGAAAACCGACACUCCCCAACGACAAGGCGAUGACGCAUUCGUAUGUCAAUCCAUAUCAACUUUCGAUGCCAUUUACUGCGCCUACCAUGGUGACCAUGGGUAACGGGGAAUCAGGGUUCGAUUCCGUACAGGGACCCUGACAAACGGCUACCACAUGCAAGGAAGGCAGUAGGCGCGCAAAUGACCCACUCCCGACGAGGGGAGGUAGUGACAACAAAUAACAAUACAGGACUCUUUAGAGGCCCUGUAAUUGUAAUGAGCCCACUUGAAAUCCUUUAACUCUGAUCAAUUGGAGUGCAAAUCUGGUGCAGAGAGACUGACCCGUGCGUGCUGCAGAUGAAACUCCACUA